rnacentral:lncRNA from 1 species
CUUUUGUUCUUAUUGAUGUAUAAUAAAUGCACAUAUUGGUGGGGUAUAUGUGAUAUUUUGAUACAGUUGUAUUCUAAGUUUUGUUCUCCUCUACUAGAGUGGAAAUUUCAUGAAAGUAAAAGUUGCGGCUCUCUGGGAAUGCCAUUGUAUCUCUUCCAUUUAACACAUUAUCAGAUGCAAAGAGGACCCUCAGAUUUGACUCUGGAAGGUUGCUCUUUGGAAGCCUGGGAUUAAGGAUAAAGACGGCAACAACAGAAUAGCAGAAAACAGAUUCAAAAGAAAAUGGUUCCUGCAAUGCUGACUUCUUUAAGACCAGUGAAUAUCAGAAUGAUGUAAGCUUUUUCACGUAGGAGGGGCAGACUUUAAAUCACCUGUCAGGUAACUCUUUAGUAGGCAGAAUACACCAAUUAGGUUUCUUUUUCUCAUUUGUUGUCUUUCUACCUUUAUGCUGUUUGGCUUAUUCUCCAAUGAGUACUUUCAAGCUAAGUUUGUUAAAACACAUAUUUGACAGAACGUUGGACCAUUGCAAAUUCUGCAGAGUGAGCAGGCACUUCUUUCUGCUGGAAGAUAGGAUAGACUUGCUUAAAGCAAAUAUUGAUUUAAAAAAAAAGCUAACCUCAGUGCAUUAUUAGUCUUGGUACUGGAUUGGAACAGUAUUUUGCUAAUUAGAUGGAUUUUGAUGCUUCAUUCCCUCCUGCAAGGGUGCUUCCACUCAGAAAACAGAAAUCAGGAGCAGGGGAUGGAACACACUCUUUGGAUAAAAAUAAAAACAAUGCUCCAAUAUUGAAGAGAAAACAAAAUGAUAGAGCCAGGAAGCAGCUCAGCAAAGCCAUUUCCAUGCUUAUUGCUAUUUGAAGGCAUAAUGAUUGAAGUUAUUGUCUUAAUGUAAGAUUACUAAAUAAUGCAUCCCAUAAAAGAAAGACAUUGUAUUGGCCAUAAAACGUGUGUAACUGCAACAGAAUUCAUACUUAUUUAAUGACACUUUAGAGUCGGAUGGUAAUUAAAAUGAAGUAGGAAUUUUUUAAAGGCAAGAGAAAUUCAAAUAUACCAGCAUAUAAAUCGAAACAUUUUCUUUGUUUUGCAAGCACAUAAAGAAGUAAGUUUCCCAUGGUUUUUCUGUUUUCCGUUUUUGACCCACUGGGAACAGCACAAUUUUGACUCCUCGGUAUUUCUACUUCUAAUUGCUAGGAGGGUUCAUUAUCAGCUGUCUAAAGUGC